rnacentral:rRNA from 1 species
AUGUGGCGCGCGGCCGCCUCCCGCCUCCGCGCGCAUUGCCCGCCCCACGCGCUCCGCCGCCUCUACUCGCCGCCGCGGGUGGACCCGCCGGUCACGGCGUCCGAGGCGCGGCGGCUGGUGCGGCUCGUCGGGGUCGAGGCGCUGAAGCGGCGGCUGCGGGACGGGCCUCGCGAGGCGAUCGGCUACGGGGAGCUCCUCGACGCGUGCGUGGAGGCCGGGGCGGCGCGCACCCGCGAUGACGCGGAGGGCCUCGCGCGGGCCAUGGACGACGCCGGCGUCCUGCUGCUCUUCAGGGACAAGGCCUACCUCCACCCCGAGAAGGUGGUGGACCUGGUGAGAAGAGCGGUGCCACUGGCCCUCGAGGUAGAGGACGACCCAAGGAGAGAAGAGCUGAGGCAGCUCCAGGAGAAGAAGGACGGCAUCGACAAGCUGGCGCACAAGCAGGUCCGGCGCAUCCUCUGGUCCGGCCUGGGGUUGAUCAUGUCCCAGAUCGGCCUCUUCUUCCGCCUCACCUUCUGGGAGCUCUCGUGGGACGUGAUGGAGCCCAUCGCCUUCUUCACCACCGCAUCCGGGCUGCUCGUCAGCUACACCUACUUCCUCGUCACCUCCAGGGACCCGACGUACCAGGACUUCAUGGAGAGGCUCUUCCUGUCCAGGAGGAGGAAGCUCUGCGCCACGCACAGGUUCGACAUGGAGAGGUACCUGGAGCUGCACAGGCAUUGCAAGUGCCCUCUCGAAGGUCACUAUCCUCCUCAUGGUCCCAAGCUUCACAACUUGUAA